UUCUAAUGCAUAACCAACAUUGAGAACCUCUUCCAUAAGUAUCUUCUAACUCCUAAAUGGAUUAGUGCCCAACUGGGCAUUUGUGUCCAUCAGAGUCUCCUAGCCACAUGGUUCAUCUCAAGAAAAUAAGUGCUAAACUUAGGAAGAACCUAGAGCAACUACCUAAGGACUGCUGGGACAAUGAGACGCUAAUAUGUUAUUGGAUCAAAUAGUGAAAGCGUCUUGAUGCUGUAAAAGCUGUACAAAUAUUAUUUCAAAUAAUCGACUACUCAUUUCAGGGCCAAAGACUCCAGAGGCUACCCUUCCCUCUGAGCCUUAUACUUGUCCCCCAAAAUAGUAUACAGGAGAGAAAAUGUGGCAAGAAA